rnacentral:rRNA from 1 species
GGGUUGUGAGGUUAAGCGACUAAGCGUACACGGUGGAUGCCCUGGCAGUCAGAGGCGAUGAAGGGCGUGCUAAUCUGCGAUAAGCGCCGGUAAGGUGAUAUGAACCGUUAUAACCGGCGAUACCCGAAUGGGGAAACCCAGUGUGACUCGUCACACUAUCAUUAACUGAAUCCAUAGGUUAAUGAGGCGAACCGGGGGAACUGAAACAUCUAAGUACCCCGAGGAAAAGAAAUCAACCGAGAUUCCCCCAGUAGCGGCGAGCGAACGGGGAGGAGCCCAGAGCCUGAAUCAGCAUGUGUGUUAGUGGAAGCGUCUGGAAAGGCGCGCGAUACAGGGUGACAGCCCCGUACACAAAAGCGCAUGUGCUGUGAGCUCGAUGAGUAGGGCGGGACACGUGGUAUCCUGUCUGAAUAUGGGGGGACCAUCCUCCAAGGCUAAAUACUCCUGACUGACCGAUAGUGAACCAGUACCGUGAGGGAAAGGCGAAAAGAACCCCGGCGAGGGGAGUGAAAAAGAACCUGAAACCGUGUACGUACAAGCAGUGGGAGCACCCUUUGGGGUGUGACUGCGUACCUUUUGUAUAAUGGGUCAGCGACUUAUAUUCUGUAGCAAGGUUAACCGUAUAGGGGAGCCGGAGGGAAACCGAGUCUUAACCGGGCGUUAAGUUGCAGGGUAUAGACCCGAAACCCGGUGAUCUAGCCAUGGGCAGGUUGAAGGUUGGGUAACACUAACUGGAGGACCGAACCGACUAAUGUUGAAAAAUUAGCGGAUGACCUGUGGCUGGGGGUGAAAGGCCAAUCAAACCGGGAGAUAGCUGGUUCUCCCCGAAAGCUAUUUAGGUAGCGCCUCGUGAAUUCAUCUCCGGGGGUAGAGCACUGUUUCGGCUAGGGGGCCAUCCCGGCUUACCAACCCGAUGCAAACUGCGAAUACCGGAGAAUGUUAUCACGGGAGACACACGGCGGGUGCUAACGUCCGUCGUGAAGAGGGAAACAACCCAGACCGCCAGCUAAGGUCCCAAAGUCAUGGUUAAGUGGGAAACGAUGUGGGAAGGCCCAGACAGCCAGGAUGUUGGCUUAGAAGCAGCCAUCAUUUAAAGAAAGCGUAAUAGCUCACUGGUCGAGUCGGCCUGCGCGGAAGAUGUAACGGGGCUAAACCAUGCACCGAAGCUGCGGCAGCGACGCUUAUGCGUUGUUGGGUAGGGGAGCGUUCUGUAAGCCUGUGAAGGUGGCCUGUGAGGGUUGCUGGAGGUAUCAGAAGUGCGAAUGCUGACAUAAGUAACGAUAAAGCGGGUGAAAAGCCCGCUCGCCGGAAGACCAAGGGUUCCUGUCCAACGUUAAUCGGGGCAGGGUGAGUCGACCCCUAAGGCGAGGCCGAAAGGCGUAGUCGAUGGGAAACGGGUUAAUAUUCCCGUACUUGGUGUUACUGCGAAGGGGGGACGGAGAAGGCUAUGUUGGCCGGGCGACGGUUGUCCCGGUUUAAGCGUGUAGGUGUGUGUUCCAGGUAAAUCCGGUUCACUUUAACACUGAGGCGUGAUGACGAGGCACUACGGUGCUGAAGCAACAAAUGCCCUGCUUCCAGGAAAAGCCUCUAAGCAUCAGGUAACAUCAAAUCGUACCCCAAACCGACACAGGUGGUCAGGUAGAGAAUACCAAGGCGCUUGAGAGAACUCGGGUGAAGGAACUAGGCAAAAUGGUGCCGUAACUUCGGGAGAAGGCACGCUGACACGUAGGUGAAGUGAUUUACUCAUGGAGCUGAAGUCAGUCGAAGAUACCAGCUGGCUGCAACUGUUUAUUAAAAACACAGCACUGUGCAAACACGAAAGUGGACGUAUACGGUGUGACGCCUGCCCGGUGCCGGAAGGUUAAUUGAUGGGGUCAGCGCAAGCGAAGCUCCUGAUCGAAGCCCCGGUAAACGGCGGCCGUAACUAUAACGGUCCUAAGGUAGCGAAAUUCCUUGUCGGGUAAGUUCCGACCUGCACGAAUGGCGUAAUGAUGGCCAGGCUGUCUCCACCCGAGACUCAGUGAAAUUGAACUCGCUGUGAAGAUGCAGUGUACCCGCGGCAAGACGGAAAGACCCCGUGAACCUUUACUAUAGCUUGACACUGAACAUUGAGCCUUGAUGUGUAGGAUAGGUGGGAGGCUUUGAAGUGUGGACGCCAGUCUGCAUGGAGCCGACCUUGAAAUACCACCCUUUAAUGUUUGAUGUUCUAACGUGGACCCGUGAUCCGGGUUGCGGACAGUGUCUGGUGGGUAGUUUGACUGGGGCGGUCUCCUCCUAAAGAGUAACGGAGGAGCACGAAGGUUGGCUAAUCCUGGUCGGACAUCAGGAGGUUAGUGCAAUGGCAUAAGCCAGCUUGACUGCGAGCGUGACGGCGCGAGCAGGUGCGAAAGCAGGUCAUAGUGAUCCGGUGGUUCUGAAUGGAAGGGCCAUCGCUCAACGGAUAAAAGGUACUCCGGGGAUAACAGGCUGAUACCGCCCAAGAGUUCAUAUCGACGGCGGUGUUUGGCACCUCGAUGUCGGCUCAUCACAUCCUGGGGCUGAAGUAGGUCCCAAGGGUAUGGCUGUUCGCCAUUUAAAGUGGUACGCGAGCUGGGUUUAGAACGUCGUGAGACAGUUCGGUCCCUAUCUGCCGUGGGCGCUGGAGAACUGAGGGGGGCUGCUCCUAGUACGAGAGGACCGGAGUGGACGCAUCACUGGUGUUCGGGUUGUCAUGCCAAUGGCACUGCCCGGUAGCUAAAUGCGGAAGAGAUAAGUGCUGAAAGCAUCUAAGCACGAAACUUGCCCCGAGAUGAGUUCUCCCUGAGACUUAGAGUCUCCUGAAGGAACGUUGAAGACGACGACGUUGAUAGGCCGGGUGUGUAAGCGCAGCGAUGCGUUGAGCUAACCGGUACUAAUGAACCGUGAGGCUUAACCUUACAACGCCGAAG